CCAGAACUCACUUUGUAGACCAGACUGGCCUCAAACUCACAGAGAUCUGCCUGUCUCUGCCUCCUGAGUACUGGGAU
rnacentral:miRNA from 1 species